GUGUCAGCAGCCGCGGUAAUACCAGCUCUCCGAGUGGUGGGGAUGAUUAUUGGGCCUAAAGCAUCCGUAGCCGGCUGGACAAGUCCCCUGUUAAAUCCAACGAUCCAAUCGUUGGUCUGCGGGGGAUACUGUCCGGCUUGGGGGCGGGAGAGGCCGCCGGUAUUUCCGGGGUAGGGGUGAAAUCCUAUAAUCCCGGGAGGACCACCAGUGGCGAAGGCUGUCGGCUAGAACGCGCCCGACGGUGAGGGAUGAAAGCGGGGGGAGCGAACCGGAUUAGAUACCCGGGUAGUCCCAGCUGUAAACGAUGCAGGCUAGGUGUUAGGGCGGCUACGUGCCGCUCUAGUGCCGCAGGGAAGCCGUUAAGCCUGCCGCCUGGGGAGUACGGUCGCAAGGCUGAAACUUAAAUGAAUUGACGGGG
rnacentral:rRNA from 1 species